GUGUCAGCCGCCGCGGUAAUACCCGCAGCCCAAGUGGUGCUCGUUAUUAUUGGGCCUAAAACGUCCGUAGCCGGACCUGUAAAUCCAUGUGGAAAUCGGAGGGCCUAACCCUCCGAAGGGCGUGGACACUGCAGGCCUUGGGACUGGGUGAGUUCGGAGGUACUUCCGGGGUAGGGGUGAAAUCCUGUAAUCCUGGGAGGACCACCAGUGGCGAAGGCGUCCGAAUAGAACGGAUCCGACGGUCAGGGACGAAGCCCUGGGGCGCAAACGGGAUUAGAUACCCCGGUAGUCC
rnacentral:rRNA from 1 species